CAAAAGUGAAGUAAUUGAGCUAUUCUGCACAUCAUGAAAGAACAAUCUAACAUACAAGAAACUAAUGGAUGGAAAAACAAAACACAUUAGAUUUGCUAAAAAGAAACGAAUGAAAGAACUAAUUUGAUGGAUGCUUGAAAAAGACAGUAAAAUAAUAUCUCCAAAGUUCAGCGAGACUCAACAAAAUCAUACUAAAAGAGUCAUAAUCCUCAACUUAUACAUAUUCUUCUAAGCUUAAAGACAUUCUUAAACCCAAAAAACAUUCAAACAAAUCCCAAAUUCAAACCUUAAGAAGAAAUAUAACAUUAAUAACAUGAAUGAAAUAUACAUAGUGAAGCUAAACUGAAGGACACAUGGACAAAAUAUAACAAAUUCAAGCAAUUAUUUGACAACAGAAAGCUAGCAUUUGCCAUUUCUCUCCAAUUUUGAUUACAUGGCUUCACACUUGCACUUCAUAUGUUACUCAUGAGUCAAUGCAUACCUGGGAAUAACAGAGAAACAAAGGAAGUGAAGAAUCAAUAGCCAGCAGCAGCAGGAAUUUAUAGUUUUUAGAAGUUCUAGCCAACAAAGGAUAUUAGAAAUCCAAAAACCAAGCCAAAUUGAGCAAUUUUCAACCAAGGAAAGCAAAGAAUUCAGUGUUCUUUCAUUGUCAGCCGUUUCAGUUUUCUUUUUGGGAUUUUUUUUAUCUCUU
rnacentral:lncRNA from 1 species